UUCAGCAGCACUACGAAUUACUACACACUACUGUGAAGUUUUCCUGGGAGGAAGACAACUUUGAAAACUUCCUCUCUAUUGUCGGAAUAAUCCGAUCUCAUGAUUGGUGGCCAGAAGAUCGACAAGAUGACGACGAAGACGAUAAUUCUUUUGUCAGAAGCAUCUGCACAUUGUACAGGUGUUGCAGAUUCGUCUUGCCCUAGUUGGCAUGGGUGGCAUAGGUAUUUCCAAGUGAUUUCAACUACCGAUUUCUGACAGACGCCAUGGAUCCUCGAUGUCAUCACAGAACUGAUGAAGUUUCCAGACCUUUGUUAGAGACUGAUGGAUUGAAGCCAUGGUGUUUCUUCGCUAUGUCAGAAAUGAUAUCUAGGGUUUGAUGGAGAAGAAGUCGUGAACAAGAGUUACAAGUGUUUCUGACACUACAAAUAUUGCUUCCUCCAUCAUACUAAUAAUUAAUAUAUCCCUCUGUAUCCUCCAAGUCUCAUGCAAUGCUUCCUCCAUCGUCAUCCCUUCUCUCAGUUUUUCAUUUUCAAUACGGUAUGUUAGCCAAUUAAUUAAUUUUUGUUAUCCAAUCCAUAUCGACAGAAUGUAUCGAGCUUACCUGAUAUUGGCCUUACAAUGUGGUUUCGAGUUGUUAUUUUAUGGUGGUUUUGUUACUUAUGUCGCGAGCACUACGAAUGAUUUUAAUUUGUAGCAUCUCGACCGGCAUAUGGAUCCGAUGAAUUAAUUACCUUGUAUAUGGUUAUACAAGGUUGAACUUAUAGUUUGGAGAUCAAUAUUAGGACAUAAAUAAUCAGAUUUGUUGUCCAAUUUAUUGUAAUAUAUACUCUUGUAGUGAUUCAUUUUUAUUGUGAUGAAAUAAAAUUACUUUGUUCUUGAUGGUUCA